GAUGAACGCUGGCGGCGUGCCUAAUACAUGCAAGUCGAGCGAACAGACGAGGAGCUUGCUCCUUUGACGUUAGCGGCGGACGGGUGAGUAACACGUGGAUAACCUACCUAUAAGACUGGGAUAACUUCGGGAAACCGGAGCUAAUACCGGAUAACAUGUUGAACCGCAUGGUUCAACAGUGAAAGACGGUCUUGCUGUCACUUAUAGAUGGAUCCGCGCCGCAUUAGCUAGUUGGUAAGGUAACGGCUUACCAAGGCAACGAUGCGUAGCCGACCUGAGAGGGUGAUCGGCCACACUGGAACUGAGACACGGUCCAGACUCCUACGGGAGGCAGCAGUAGGGAAUCUUCCGCAAUGGGCGAAAGCCUGACGGAGCAACGCCGCGUGAGUGAAGAAGGUCUUCGGAUCGUAAAACUCUGUUAUUAGGGAAGAACAAAUGUGUAAGUAACUAUGCACGUCUUGACGGGACCUAAUCAGAAAGCCACGGCUAACUACGU
rnacentral:rRNA from 1 species